ACUACGCUGACUAGCCGUGUCGCUUUUAAAAACUCAAUUUACAUCUUGAUCAUUUGACACGGUUAUUACUAUAUCGGUUAGGAAUGGGUAAGGGCCCAUUUGCACAACUCCAGUUUGUGUAGCUUGUUCUGUAAGUUUCUUGUGAAAUCUGAUGUCUCAAGCAUCAGGCGUGCAAGAAAUACUGCAGUACUAGAGACCGGAAGACGUAAGGAGUACGAUUGAGGUAGCGGUAAAAUGCGUUAAUCUUGAUCGGACUAACAAUGGCGAAGGCACCUUACGAGUACGGAUCUGACAGUGAGGGAUGAAGGCUAGGGUCGCGAAAGGGAUUAGAUACCCCUGUAGUCCUAGCAGUAAACACUGUUCACUAAACAUUAGUGCCUCCUCGAGAGGCGUUAGUGCUGUAGGGAAGCCGAAGAGUGAACUACCUGGGAAGUAUAGUCGCAAGGCCGAAACUUAAAGGAAUUGGCGGGGAGGCACUACAACGGGUGACGCGUGCGGUUUAAUCAGAUUAUACACCGUGAAUCUCACCAGGAGCGACAGCAGAAUGAAGGUCAGUCUAAAGGGCUUACCUGACGCGCUGAGAGGAGUUGCAUGGCCGACAUAAGCCUGUGCCGUGAGGUGACUUGUUAAAUCAAGUAACAGGCGAGACCCUCGUGACUAAUUUCUAAUUAUAGCACAUUAGUCAGACUGCCUUGGUAACAAGG
rnacentral:rRNA from 1 species